rnacentral:lncRNA from 1 species
UAGAUGUACCACAUCUCUGUUGCGCCGUGUCUUCUGAUAGCAUCGGGGAGCCACUUCUCGGUCCUUUGCCUCUCUUGAUUUCUCUUUUAAUGUAGAAAAUUGACUCUUUUGCCUUUUGUUGCUCUUUUCUCUUUGGUUUAUGUCAAUAGCCUUGUUUCUCCAACUUUGCCAUGAUUUGCACCGUUUCACCAAACUUAUAAAAUAACACUAAUAAACACAUUAAAAACGUUCAAUAUUCAUAAGAUCUAAAACAUAAUCAAAUUAAAAUAGCAUAAAACUCGUGAAUAAAACACACUUGUUGAAUACUUCCAAACUUAAUAGUUUGCUAGCCCUCGAGCAAACACAAAGGAAAAGAAUAUAACUAAGGACACACAAACAAAAGCUUGAUCAGAUAGCUUGCUUCUUAGCUCAGUAUUGAAAACAUUAUAUUACAUUCAUGAACAACUUCAAAAUCAUAAUGCAAGAGCCAAACUACCACUUAUCUAGUGCAAAAUGAGUAUGUGUGUGAACAAUCAAGUGUAAUGUCAUCCAAUCACUAUUUAGUUCAAUUCCCAACUCUCAAUAGUCAACUAUUUUCUUUCUUCGUUCAUAAGAUUCACUCGUACUCAAACUUGUUUCUUUCAUUCUCCCCCAAGGUAUAAUUCUAAAAUUUAGUUUUACUGAUAAGUUCCUUACAUCAUUCUAAUUAGGCUAAAUCUCACAGGUAACGUCAACAAUUUAUUCAUGUGAUGGUUAUUCCAAAUUAUGAGUCUUUGAACAAUCAAGUUUAUACUAAGUGAUUCAAACUCACUAGUUAUUUAAGUACCCCCAACAAUCAGCCCUUACUUGUGCACUUGUAUAUAAUUUUUC